rnacentral:rRNA from 1 species
GGCGGCGUGCUUAACACAUGCAAGUCGAGCGGAAAGGCCCUUCGGGGUACUCGAGCGGCGAACGGGUGAGUAACACGUGAGUAACCUGCCCUGGACUUUGGGAUAACCCUCGGAAACGGGGGCUAAUACCGAAUACGACUUCCUGCCGCAUGGCAUGGACGUGGAAAGUUUUUCGGUCUGGGAUGGACUCGCGGCCUAUCAGCUUGUUGGUGGGGUAAUGGCCUACCAAGGCGACGACGGGUAGCCGGCCUGAGAGGGCGACCGGCCACACUGGGACUGAGACACGGCCCAGACUCCUACGGGAGGCAGCAGUGGGGAAUAUUGCACAAUGGGCGGAAGCCUGAUGCAGCGACGCCGCGUGAGGGAUGACGGCCUUCGGGUUGUAAACCUCUUUCAGCAGGGACGAAGCGCAAGUGACGGUACCUGCAGAAGAAGCGCCGGCCAACUACGUGCCAGCAGCCGCGGUAAGACGUAGGGCGCGAGCGUUGUCCGGAUUUAUUGGGCGUAAAGAGCUCGUAGGCGGCUUGUCGCGUCGAAUGUGAAAACCCGAGGCCCAACUUCGGGCUUGCAUUCGAUACGGGCAGGCUAGAGUUCGGUAGGGGAGACUGGAAUUCCUGGUGUAGCGGUGAAAUGCGCAGAUAUCAGGAGGAACACCGGUGGCGAAGGCGGGUCUCUGGGCCGAUACUGACGCUGAGGAGCGAAAGCGUGGGGAGCGAACAGGAUUAGAUACCCUGGUAGUCCACGCUGUAAACGUUGGGCGCUAGGUGUGGGGACCCUCUCCGGGUUUCUGCGCCGCAGCUAACGCAUUAAGCGCCCCGCCUGGGGAGUACGGCCGC